rfam:Salmo salar isolate Sally breed double haploid chromosome ssa13, whole genome shotgun sequence.
UGCAUGCAUGACUGUAAAUCGCUUUGGACAAAAGCGUCUGCUAAAAGACAUAUU